AAGUCGUAACAAGGUCUCCGUAGGUGAACCUGCGGAGGGAUCAUUACCGAACGGCCCGAUGGGCCUUCGAACCCUCAAACCAGUGGAAGAGAUAUGUGCCUCGGCGCCCCUGCUGGGGCGCCGCUCAAAUGCGUCCGUCUCUGUGUCUGAACAUUGAAAUUGAGGAUCAAAACUUUCAACGAAGGAUCUCUUGGCUCUC
rnacentral:misc_RNA from 1 species